rnacentral:tRNA from 1 species
UGCCCGAUAGUGUAAUGGUAGCACAUGUGACUUUGACUCAUAUGGUCCAGGUUCAAACCCUGGUCGGGCAACCA